UCCGAGAGAUGGGAUUCAAACCCGCGGGCAGAGCCCAAUGGAUUAGCAUUCCUUCUCCUUAACCACUCGGCCACCUCGU
rnacentral:tRNA from 13 species